rnacentral:rRNA from 1 species
CAUGCAAGUCGAGCGGGGAARGKURSYUYGSUAMYKGACCUAGCGGCGGACGGGUGAGUAAUGCUUAGGAAUCUGCCUAUUAGUGGGGGACAACGUUCCGAAAGGAACGCUAAUACCGCAUACGCCCUACGGGGGAAAGCAGGGGAUCUUCGGACCUUGCGCUAAUAGAUGAGCCUAAGUCGGAUUAGCUAGUUGGUGGGGUAAAGGCCUACCAAGGCGACGAUCUGUAGCGGGUCUGAGAGGAUGAUCCGCCACACUGGGACUGAGACACGGCCCAGACUCCUACGGGAGGCAGCAGUGGGGAAUAUUGGACAAUGGGCGGAAGCCUGAUCCAGCCAUGCCGCGUGUGUGAAGAAGGCCUUUUGGUUGUAAAGCACUUUAAGCGAGGAGGAGGCUCCUUUAGUUAAUACCUAAAGWGAGUGGACGUUACUCGCAGAAUAAGCACCGGCUAA